rnacentral:rRNA from 1 species
CAAUAGCGUAUAUUAAAGUUGUUGCGGUUAAAAAGCUCGUAGUUGGAUUUCUGCCGAGGACGACCGGUCCGCCCUCUGGGUGAGUAUCUGGCUCGGCCUGGGCAUCUUCUUGGAGAACGUAUCUGCACUUGACUGUGUGGUGCGGUAUCCAGGACUUUUACUUUGAGGAAAUUAGAGUGUUUAAAGCAGGCUUUUGCUAUGAAUACAUUAGCAUGGAAUAAUAAUUUAGGACUUCGGUUCUAUUUUGUUGGUUUCUAGUACUGAAGUAAUGAUUGAUAGGGAUAGUUGGGGGUAUUCGUAUUUCGUUGUCAGAGGUGAAAUUCUUGGAUUUCCGAAAGACGAACUACUGCGAAAGCAUUUACCAAGGAUGUUUUCAUUAAUCAAGAACGAAAGUUAGGGGAUCGAAGACGAUUAGAUACCGU